GGUUAUAGUGACAACACGGACAAGAAACCGUCUCACACGUAGAUAGUUGCGGUCCAGGCUACAGCUGGAUUGGCAGCUGGUGCCUGUUCAUCAGUAAUUACACUCCCAUAGAUACUGUUAAAACACGACUUCAGGUUAUCGAUGAUUAUGAUGUUGGGAGACCUUCUGUACUAAAGACCACAAAAACGCUUCUCAGAGAAGAUGGAUGGAAAGGGUUCUAUAGAGGCUUUGGACCUAGGUUCCUCAAUAUGUCUUUCUAUGGAACAACAAUGAUUGUCACCUAUGGGAUCAUCAAGAGAUUAUCUAUUAAACAAGUUUGAUCAUUCGGACUCCAAA